rnacentral:rRNA from 1 species
UUUACUGUAGCUUGACAUUGGGUCUUGGUACUACAUGUACAGGAUAGGUGGGAGGCUUUGAAACCAGGACGCAAGUUUGGGCGGUGACAUCCUUGGGAUACCACCCUUGUAGUACUGGGAGUCUAACAAUAGGCCAUGAAUCUGGUCUGGGGACACGGUCAGGUGGGGAGUUUGACUGGGGCGGUCGCCUCCAGAAAGGUAACGGAGGCGCUCAAAGGUUCUCUCAGUACGGUCGGAAAUCGUACGUAGAGUGUAAAGGCAAAAGAGAGCUUGAUUGCAAGACAUACAGGUCGAGCAAGGAUGAAAAUCGGACUUAGUGAUC